AUUGAACGCUGGCGGCAUGCCUUACACAUGCAAGUCGAACGGCAGCACGGGAGUAAUCCUGGUGGCGAGUGGCGAACGGGUGAGUAAUAUAUCGGAACGUGCCCAGUCGUGGGGAUAACGUAGCGAAAGCUACGCUAAUACCGCAUACGAUCUAUGGAUGAAAGCGGGGGAUCGCAAGACCUCGCGCGAUUGGAGCGGCCGAUAUCAGAUUAGGUAGUUGGUGAGGUAAAGGCUCACCAAGCCGACGAUCUGUAGCUGGUCUGAGAGGACGACCAGCCACACUGGGACUGAGACACGGCCCAGACUCCUACGGGAGGCAGCAGUGGGGAAUUUUGGACAAUGGGCACAAGCCUGAUCCAGCAAUGCCGCGUGCAGGAUGAAGGCCUUCGG
rnacentral:rRNA from 1 species